CAGCAGCCGCGGGAAAACGUAGGGUGCGAGCGUUAAUCGGAAUUACUGGGCGUAAAGCGUGCGCAGGCGGUUCGUUAAGACAGAUGUGAAAUCCCCGGGCUUAACCUGGGAACUGCAUUUGUGACUGACGGGCUAGAGUAUGGCAGAGGGGGGUAGAAUUCCACGUGUAGCAGUGAAAUGCGUAGAGAUGUGGAGGAAUACCGAUGGCGAAGGCAGCCCCCUGGGCCAAUACUGACGCUCAUGCACGAAAGCGUGGGGAGCAAACAGGAUUAGAUACCCGCGUAGUCCCUGUCUCUUAUAC
rnacentral:rRNA from 1 species